GGAAUGAACAUUGAUUCAAGUCCUGGUUUCAAACCGUGAAUUAGAAGUGAAUCCUGAUUAGCAUUAGCUAUGCUAACAUCAGUGCAGAAAUAUCACCAAACCAUGCUUAUGGGUGAAAAAGGAAACAGAAACAGAGUCCAAUAAGGCGAACGCUAAGGCGUUUGAAAAGCAACUGACAAGACUGGAGUUCUAACCGCCAAAUCAACAGUUGUACCAGGCAGUUAGAGCACUCGAGGAGCUGAAGAAUUCUUCGCCACGAGGUCCUGCGCAGGCGCAGUACCCAGACUUAUGAUUACCAUGCAGAUCACUUAAAAGAUCAUAACAUCUUUAAGUUCAACUCUGCAUAGAGAUGGAAACAUAUUUUACUUUCUAGGCACCAACACAACCACUGAAGGUGCCUGGGCAAUCAUGUGCCUGGGAUUUUUCCAGUCCUACUAAAAAGGAAACAAAGCUUCCUUUCGGGGCGAAUAACUGCCUGUCAAACAUACAAGUCCUAAUCAACAAUCUUCUUGUGCUUUCUUCUAUCAGAACAAAUAGUCGGUAAGAGAUCUCCUUAAACUAGGAGUCUCUGCAGUAUUCCUCAUCAAAGUAUGCCUCUGUCACUUUUUAGCCUUCCAGAAAGCCAUUUACAAUUCCGGCAAUGUACAUGUACGAGUACAAUCACAGAUAAGAGAUAAUGGAUGAAGGAGGGGAUACCUAUACUGUUUGUCCUUUAUAUGAAAUCUGGAUAGAUAUGCACUCCUUAAAAAAGAUUUCACAGAGAGAACUUCACCCACCUUUCCCACCAUGCAACUGCCAUUUCAUAUAUCUGGAUCAAAUGAUAGAUCUGAAGCAAGUGUUGACCAUAGGAAAACAUUCUAUGGCUUGGGCUGGACCAUAAGAUGCAACUCUAGGAGAAGAUGCAACUCUAAAAAGAAGGAAAAGGACCCCACUUCCUCUCACUCCUACCAGUUAAGAAGCAAGGAUCAGCUUUUCCAGAAUGUGGACAGCUUGGGGAUACCCACUGUGUUCAGAAUUGCACAGAUUUAAAUUAAUCAGUAAAAGUAAUGUGGAAAUUACUACUGGCAAUGCAGAACAUUAUCUGUCCAAAAUUAACAAAGCCACACCAUAAUUUCACUGCUGAAUUUACCAACCUGAAAGACAACUCUGGAUUUCUCAAGCAGAUGCUGAGGACAUUAGAAUGAGAUGAUUCAAUCAAAUAAUAUCCCUGUGCAGAGAUAAUGAUAAUUUACCUCUGUUAUUGGAUUGGAUGCCAACACUUUAUCUUCUACUUGCGCAUUGCUGCUUGAUCUACUGACUGUAGCAAAGUACCUCAUAGCAUAUCUAGCAGAAACUGUUUUUCCUGCUCCUGAUUCUCCACUGACUAUAACAGACUGAUUCUUGUUGUUCCUAAAUCAAGAAGAGAAUGUGUUACUCAAAGAAGGUUGCCUUCAAAGCCCUCCAUAGCCUUGCACCUCCCUAGUAGGGAUGUGCAAACCGGUUCAGACUCUCCUGUCCAAAGGUCUUCUGCUCCUUCAAAUAACUCCCCUACUGCCUCAUACUGAGAACUGCCUCCUAUAACACCCAUGUGAUGUCGCCUCUUUUACUUCCUUCAAAUGCCUUCUUCCACAAAGCCUUUGACACAACACCUUGGUCUCUAUUCUGUACUGUAGCUAAGCUUAAGUACGAGUCAUGGAAAUAACCACAUACUUUCCCCCUGCAUAGCAAGCUUCCAUUCCUCUUCCCUCCUGGUGAGCGCUGUGCUAGACUCUGUAGCAUAGAUAAUGGAGACCUAUAUACACAACAAGCUUGGAUCAAUUUUAUACCACUUUAACUGUCAUGUCUUUUUCCAAAGUAUCCUGGGAACACUGAAUUCCCAGAGUUCCCUGUAGGAAAAGUAACUAUUAAACCAGUUGAAAUAUGCAAUACAGAUAUGACCCUAGAGUCAGCUUCGAACUCAGUAACUAACUCCCUAAGCUUCUCUCUCUCUCUUUCUAAUCUAGUGACCUGAAACCAUAGAGUUUCUGAGAGAUGAAUAUAGACAGGAAGGCACAUUGCAUACUGUGAGCACCACAAAUAUAAUAAAUAACUAGCACAAGGCUUGCAGAAUUGUGCAAAAAGCUAUUUAUACCUGCUUUCUUGAAGACCUUUGCAGAGACCCUUGGUAAUCUCUGAACAGCUGUUCCAGAGUACCUGGACCUUCCUCAAGAAUCAAGGAAACUAUCUGAUCACUUCAUUGAUUCCCAAGAAAUUUUCUUGCAAAGCUUUUGAGAGGCAGUCUUCAGCAUUUUGCAGCGAAAGUCAUCAAUUUUUAAUACCUGUACUGUACAUUUUAAACACAACAUAAAAUACCAUCUACUCAACCUUGCCAUCUGUUUGUAAGCUUCUUCUGCCACAGCAAAUAUAUGUGGAUCCAUAUCCCCCAUAUUCUGGCCACUGUAGGCAUGGAUAAUGGCAUCUCCAUAUAUAGGCAACUGCUUGUAGGGGUUCAUAGCAACCAAAAUUAUU